rnacentral:rRNA from 1 species
ACUCCUACGGGAGGCAGCAGUGGGGAAUAUUGCACAAUGGGCGCAAGCCUGAUGCAGCCAUGCCGCGUGUAUGAAGAAGGCCUCGGUUGNAUUGNUUCAUGCAGUAGAGGUAAGGUGGAGUCGUUAAUAGCGGCCUCAUUUGACGUUAGCUGCAGAAGAAGCACCGGCUAANCUCCGUGCCAGCAGCCGCGGUAAUACGGAGGGUGCGAGCGUUAAUCGCAAGUAUNUGC